CCUACGGGAGGCAGCAGUGAGGAAUAUUGGUCAAUGGGCGAGAGCCUGAACCAGCCAAGUCGCGUGAGGGAGUACUGCCCUAUGGGUUGUAAACCUCUUUUGUCGGGGAGCAAAAGACGGACGUGUCCGGCUGUGAGAGUUCCCGAAGAAAAAGCAUCGGCUAACUCCGUGCCAGCAGCCGCGGUAAUACGGAGGAUGCGAGCGUUAUCAGGAUUUAUUGGGUUUAAAGGGUGCGCAGGCGGGUUUUUAAGUCAGCGGUAAAAUCGUGGGGCUCAACCCCAUCCAGCCGUUGAAACUGGGGAUCUAGAGUGUGCGAGAGGUAUGCGGAAUGCGUGGUGUAGCGGUGAAAUGCAUAGAUAUCACGCAGAACCCCGAUUGCGAAGGCAGCAUACCGGUGCACAACUGACGCUCAGGCACGAAAGCGUGGGUAUCGAACAGGAUUAGAUACCCUUGUAGUC
rnacentral:rRNA from 1 species